UAGAGUUUGAUCAUGGCUCAGAAUCACCCUUAGCGGCGUGCCUCAGACAUGCAAGUCGAACGAUUAAAGCUCUCUUCGGAGAGUGUAUAGAGUGGCGCACGGGUGAGUAACACGUAAGUAAUCUACCCUCGAGUGGGGAAUAACAACCGGAAACGGUUGCUAAUACCGCAUAAUGCAGCGGCACCGCAAGGUGACAGUUGUUAAAGAUUUAUCGCUUGAGGAGGAGCUUGCGGCAGAUUAGCUAGUUGGUAGGGUAACGGCUUACCAAGGCUACGAUCUGUAACCGGUCUAAGAGGACGGUCGGUCACACUGACACUGAAUAACGGGUCAGACUCCUACGGGAGGCAGCAGUCGGGAAUUUUGGGCAAUGGGCGAAAGCCUGACCCAGCAACGCCGCGUGAAGGAUGAAGUAUUUCGGUAUGUAAACUUCGAAAGAAUAGGAAGAAUUAAUGACGGUACUAUUUAUAAGGUCCGGCUAACUACGUGCCAGCAGCCGCGGUAAUA
rnacentral:rRNA from 1 species